GUCUGGUCGUGACGGCUGCAUCGGCUCAAAGUGGAUUCGGGGGAGACAGAUAACAACCCAACAGCCAAGGGUUAAUUUGAGCAAUGCGCCCACCUAACCACAGUGCUGGUCAAGGUCCGACUCAAGCCAAAUUUGGAAGAAACUAACAUCUGUAGUCGACUACAGUGCCUCCUACCAUGAGCAAGUUCCCUAGGACUGUUCAUUAGGACCGAGUAGGUCGCGACAGCUUCCCUUUCUAUUGCUGUCAAGCCCACAACCAUUCUUUCCCCCACUGAAAUCUCUGUCACCAGUUCUGCCCUUCAACCUCCUUACCUGCUCCUCUCCCCAUCACUCUUUCAAGAUUUCAUCUCUUCUCUUGGAGUCAAAGAUACAGCUCAAAGAUUUGGGCAGAAAAAUACUGCUGUGAAAAGCUAGCUAAAAUCCUAAGGAAAAGAAAAAAUCACGACAAGGAUUUGGGAGCCUGUUCCAAGGAGUAAUGAAGGAGAACCCUUCCACACCUGGCUGAAAACCUCCAAGCCAGCACUGGCUAUGGCAUCGGGGCAGUGAUCAUAUUAAUGUUUAGCUGAGUAGUAUUUAGCUUAGAAAUCCGCUGUGUGUAGUAGCCAAUAAAUAUUUGCUCUGUACUCUUAAAUUGUGGGUAUACAGAAACUCCCUGUACAUGGCAAAAGGUGCCCAAACAAAAGUGCAGAGAGGAAGGGAUACAUAGGCAGCUAACUAGGAUUUUGCUCAUAUUGGCAGGGCUAAAUUUCCCUAAUGAUUUUACUAGUGAUAGAGCUGGUGACCCAUGAUCUUAUGUCACUGCAAGGAUAAUCCAAUCCCAGCCAAAAUCCCACCAUACGGGAGAAAAAUCACAGCCAUUGUCAAUAUUUUGCAGCACCUGGAUUAGUACUUACUGUAUUUAUGCAAACUAACAAUUCAAUUUUAUUUUAUGAAUGCCAUUUUAUCUUCCAUUUUGUGCCGAAACCUUCAAAAGAGUAACAAACAUUCCUGCAUUGACCCCAGCACUAGACCUGGAGAACAAUAAGAGUCUGUAAGGUGGCUGAUUUUUCAUUCAAAUGGAAACAGCAUGGCACAAAUAGCUGGCCACUACCCCGAAGAAACAGUCCUGCCAGGUUGCUUUAUAAUCCUUCACUUAAAGAUGGA